rnacentral:rRNA from 1 species
AUUGAACGCUGGCGGCAGGCCUAACACAUGCAAGUCGAACGAGCGGCGGACGGGUGAGUAAUGUCUGGGAAACUGCCCGAUGGAGGGGGAUAACUACUGGAAACGGUAGCUAAUACCGCAUACCAUCGGAUGAGCCCAUAUGGGAUUUGCUCGUAGGGGAGGUAACGGCUCACCUAGGCGACGAUCCCGAGCUGGGCUGAGAGGAUGACCAGACACACGGGAAUUGAGAGACGGGCCAGACUCCGACGGGAGACAGAAGUGGGGAAUAUGGAAAAAUGGGCGGAAGCAUGAUGCAGCCAGGCCGCGGGGAUGAAGAAGGACUUAGGGUUGUAAAGUACUGUCAGGGGGGAGGAGUUACCGGCAGAAGAAGCACCGGCUAACGCCGUGACAGAAGCCGCGGUAAUUC